GAUGUUUAACUUUAGCUGGUUGAUCUCGGGUCAAAUUGAUUUUUGAAAAUAUUUGGUCCCCUUCAACCAGCUGUUGUUGACAUUGCUG
rnacentral:pre_miRNA from 1 species